UACGUAGGGUCCGAGCGUUGUCCGGAAUUACUGGGCGUAAAGAGCUCGUAGGCGGUUUGUCGCGUUGUUCGUGAAAACUCACAGCUUAACUGUGGGCGUGCGGGCGAUACGGGCAGACUAGAGUACUGCAGGGGAGACUGGAAUUCCUGGUGUAGCGGUGGAAUGCGCAGAUAUCAGGAGGAACACCGGUGGCGAAGGCGGGUCUCUGGGCAGUAACUGACGCUGAGGAGCGAAAGCGUGGGGAGCGAACAGG
rnacentral:rRNA from 1 species